GUGGGGAAUCUUGCGCAAUGGCCGAAAGGCUGACGCAGCGACGCCGCGUGUGGGAGGAAGCCCUUCGGGGUGUAAACCACUGUUGCCCGGGACGAACAUCCCUUUUCGAGGGGACUGACGGUACCGGGUGAGGAAGCACCGGCUAACUCCGUGCCAGCAGCCGCGGUAAUACGGAGGGUGCGAGCGUUGUCCGGAAUCACUGGGCGUAAAGGGCGCGUAGGCGGCGCGGGAAGUCAACGGUGAAAGCUUGGGGCUCAACCCCGAGUCGGCCGUCGAUACUCCCGUGCUCGAGCACUGUAGAGGCAGGUGGAAUUCCGGGUGUAGCGGUGGAAUGCGUAGAGAUCCGGAAGAACACCGGUGGCGAAGGCGGCCUGCUGGGCAGUAGCUGACGCUGAUGCGCGACAGCGUGGGGAGCAAACAGGAUUAGAUACCCGGGUAGUCC
rnacentral:rRNA from 1 species